CUCUGAUUCUCGGUUUCAACCAUACUUUCUGCUUCGGUAUUUAGCGAUGGGUGGAAAUUGGAUUUGGAAUGUUCGGCAUGAUCAAAAUUCAAAACAUCUGCCUCAUGCAGCUUCUGCUUCUCGAUGAAUACAUGAAGAAGAGAGGCUCCGAGGUGAUGAAGAAUUGGAGAUGAGCCUGAGACGGGUAGCGGUGAAGGCUGUUAAUCCCAUUCCAUAUCGAAAUCAAAAGGCUUCUUGUCCUCCUCGACUUCUCAGGUAUCUUCAUGACCGAGAGGUGGCAGCCGAGAUGGUCUAUGAGGUGAAAAAGAAUCAACAAGAUAUGUUGAUUGAGAAUAAGGAGGAGGAUAUUAACAAAGACAACCAGUGGGCAGCUGAAAAUUUUCUCCCGCCACCGGAGAAGCCGUUGCUGGGGGACUGCUGCGGCAGCGGCUGCAUUCGAUGCGUCUGGGAUGUGUACCACGAAGAACUCGAGGAUUAUAACAAUCGCUACAGGAAAUAUUCUCAAUUUCAAUUGAAGAAAUCCAAAUAAAAUUCCAGUUAAGGGGCGAUUUUCUUGCAAUCUGAAACAUAAACCGGCAAGCGAAGAUGUCGUUGAAAUAGGACUGGUCACCACCACCAUCACAAGUGGAAGAAGCUAUUUUCUCAGCGAGUAUUUGUUAUGAUUUUCGUAUUCGUCAUUAUAGUUUUGUUACUGAUGGUCAUGAUUUGUGGACUAACCUUGGACUGGUUCUACAGUAAAUCCUUUAGGCCAUCAAUUACUUCAUGCCAUUGGUUUGUUGCAAUUUUGUUGCUGAUGGUCAUGAAAAUGCAGACAGAAAACCUGCAGAAUAGAUUUACAUGUGGAAAGAUCAACUUAAGGUGAAUGGGUGGAUGAUGGAAUGAAGUACAUUCUUCACACUUGAUACAAGUUCUAGCUGA